rnacentral:rRNA from 1 species
UCAAGCUACAAAGGGCUUACGGAGGAUGCCUUGGUACAUGGCGCCGAAGAAGGACGUGACAAGCUGCGAAAAGUUGCGGAGAGGAGCAAAUAUCCAAAGACCCGCAAAUAUCCGAAUGAGGGAACUCCGUACGAGUAACAUCGUGCGAUCCCGUACCGAACAAAAUAGGUACGAGGAGGGGAACUCGGGGAACUGAAACAUCUAAGUACCCGAAGGAAAAGAAAACAACAGUGAUUCCGAAAGUAGUGGCGAGCGAAAUCGGAGGAGCCCAAACCGAAGAUAGAAAUAUUUUAGGGGUAAGGAGCCGCGAGAAGUCAAGAAAGAAUCUAACCGAACUAUCUGGAAAGGUAGAUCAGAGAGGGUGAAAAUCCCGUAGGUGAAAGAGGGAAUAAGGCGAGCGGAAAUCCGGAGUACGUCGGGACACGAGAAAUCCUGACGGAAGAAACGGGGACCAUCCCGUAAGGCUAAAUACGACCAUGUGACCGAUAGCGAAAAGUACCGUGAGGGAAAGGUGAAAAGAACCCCGGGAGGGGAGUGAAAAAGAACCUGAAACCGUAAGUUUACAAGCAGACGGAGCGCGUUAAGGGCGCGACGUCGUACUUUUUGUAGAACGGGCCGGCGAGUUACGAUGUGAUGCGAGGUUAAGCGAUGAAGUCGCGAAGCCGAAGCGAAAGCGAAUCUGAAGAGGGUGAGAAGUAUCAUGUCGUAGACCCGAAACCGAAUGACCUAACCAUGAGCAGGUUGAAGCAAUGGUAAAACGUUGUGGAGGACCGAACACACGCCUGUUGAAAUAGUCGGUGAUGACUUGUGGUUAGCGGAGAAAUUCCAAACGAAUUCGGAUAUAGCUGGUUCUCCUCGAAAUAGCUUUAGGGCUAGCCUCGCAUAUGAACCUUGAAGGUAGAGCACUGAAUGACCUAGGGGGCUUCACAGCCUACCGAAGUUUAUCAAACUCCGAAUGUCAAGGUGGAAGAGUGCGGGAGUCAGACAGCGACAGCUAAGUGCCGUUGUCAAAAGGGAAACAGCCCAGAUCUACAGCUAAGGUCCCCAAGUACAGGUUAAGUGGAAAAGGAUGUGACGAUGCAAAGACAACCAGGAUGUUGGCUCAGAAGCAGCCACUCAUUAAAAGAGUGCGUAAUAGCUCACUGGUCGAGUGACUCUGCGCCGAAAAUUUAACGGGGCUAAAUCGUACACCGAAGCUUGGGAAUAUCAGUUAUUCUUCAUGGACUUGCAAGGAAAGAGACCAUGGCACGAAGUGCCAUCAAAUUGUCCAUAAGGAUAAAGCGAGCUUGUGAAGAAUAACUGAUGUUGGUAGGAGAGCGUUGAAUGCGGGGUGAAGUCAGAGCGAAAGCGCUGGUGGACUGCAUUGAAGUGAGAAUGCCGGAAUGAGUAGCGAGAUUUAUGUGAGAAUCAUAAAGGCCGAAAGACUAAGGUUUCAGAAGGAAGGUUCGUCCGCUUCUGGUUAGCCGGGAGCUAAGGUGAGGCCGAAAGGCGUAGCCGAUGCACAUACGGUGGAGAUUCCGUAGCCGUCGAAAUAUUUAAGCAAAGGGACACUUAUGAAGGACAUGACCCGGGCGAUGGUAGCCCCGGGCGUAAGGGACCGAAAACAAGUAGGGAAGCAUGUUUGGAUUAAGGCGAGAAAAGCUUUGUGUAUAUAUUAGACGUCCGUACCGCAAACCGACACAGGUAGUCAGGAAGAGGAUUCUAAGGCCAACGGGAGAAGGGUAGUUAAGGAACUCGGCAAAUUGACCCCGUAACUUCGGAAUAAGGGGUGCUCACGAGAGUGAGCCGCAGUGAAUAGGUCCAGGCGACUGUUUAUCAAAAACACAGCUCUCUGCUAAAUCGAAAGAUGACGUAUAGGGGGUGACACCUGCCCGGUGCUGGAAGGUUAAGAGGAAGGGUGCAAGCUCUGAAUUGAAGCCCCAGUAAACGGCGGCCGUAACUAUAACGGUCCUAAGGUAGCGAAAUUCCUUGUCGGGUAAGUUCCGACCCGCACGAAUGGCGUAACGACUUGGGCACUGUCUCAACAUGGGACCCGGCGAAAUUGUAGUAUGUGUGAAGAUGCACAUUACCCGCGAUAGGACGGAAAGACCCCGUAGAGCUUUACUGUAGUUUAACAUUGGAUUUCGGUAACAUAUGUACAGGAUAGGUGGGAGGCGAAGAACCAGGGACGCCAGUUUCUGGGGAGCCGACCUUGGGAUACCACUCUUGUGUUAUUGGAGUUCUAACGAAUUGCCGUGAACCGGGAUUCGGACAGUGUUAGAUGGGCAGUUUGACUGGGGCGGUCGCCUCCCAAAGAGUAACGGAGGCGUCCAAAGGUUCCCUCAGAAUGGUUGGAAACCAUUCGCAGAGUGUAAAGGCAGAAGGGAGCUUGACUGCGAGACCGACAGGUCGAGCAGGUGCGAAAGCAGGGCUUAGUGAUCCGGCGGUAUGAGAGUGGAAUUGCCGUCGCUCAACGGAUAAAAGCUACCUCGGGGAUAACAGGCUUAUCUCCCCCAAGAGUCCACAUCGACGGGGAGGUUUGGCACCUCGAUGUCGGCUCA